AUGUCGGGCCCCGGGCCGCGGGAGCCGCCGCAGGCGCAGGCGGGCGGGCCGGCGGGCCCCGAGGGCGCGGACGCGGCGCUGGGCGAGGCGGGGCUGAGCUUCACGACCACCGACCUGAGCCUGGUGGAGAUGACGGAGAUCGAGUACACGCAGCUGCAGCACAUCCUGUACUCGCACAUGGAGGCGGCGGCGGCCGACGGCGAGCUCGAGACGCGCCUCAACUCGGCCUUCCUGGCGGCGGCGGCGCCGGGCGCGGCGGCGGGGGGCUUCGCGGCGUCCGGGGGCGCGCCGCCCGUGUACCCGGUGCUGUGCCCGCCCGCGCUGGCCGACGGCGGCUUCGCGGGCGCCAGUCCGUGCCUGGGCCACAUCGACUUCCAGGAGCUGCGCAUGAUGCUGCUGAGCGAGGCGGGCGCGCCCCCCGCCAGCGCCGCCGAGAAGACGCCGGGCGCCGACGGUCCUGGCCCGGGCGCACCGAGGCCCAAGGCGUCCGACGGCGCCGGCAAGGAGAACGCGGCGGCCGGGGAGGGCGCGCCGGAGGCGCGGGCCAAGUCGGCCGUGCGCGUCCGCCUGGAGGACCGCUUCAACAGCAUCCCCGCCGAGCCCCAGCCCGCGCCGCGCGGCGCCGAGCCCUCCGAGCCAGGCGUGGCGCUCAACAAUUUGGUGACUCUUAUUCGACAUCCAUCUGAAUUGAUGAACGUGCCUCUUCAGCAACAAAACAAAUGUACGACCUUAGUGAAGAAUAAGACUGCAGCUGCCACCACCGCCCUGCAGUUCACCUACCCGUUGUUUACCACCAACGCCUGUACCAGCGGCUCGGGCACCAGUCUCGCACAGACACAGAGUUCUAGUAACUCAUGUUCUAUCCUCGACGCUGCCAAGCACCAGGAUAUCGGAUUGCCUAGAGCGUUUUCUUUCUGUUAUCAGCAAGAAAUUGAAUCCACUAAGCAGACUUUAGGCAGUAGAAACAGAGCUUUGCCUGAGCAGGUGUGGAUUAAAGUGGGAGAAGCGCUCUGCAAGCAAGCGAUAAAUAAGAGGAAUCGGGGCAGAAUGCGUCCAUUGGACACGAGUGGAGAGCGAAGAGCCCUGGGAGAGAUUCAGAAUGUGGGCGAGGGCACCGCCGCCCAGGGCACCUGGCAGCCCUCGGAGUCUGCGCCGGCACACCUCGGGGAGCAGGCUCAGAGUGGGCCCCCUGGGGGCAGGUCUCAGCGCAGGGAGAGGCACAACCGCAUGGAGAGAGACAGAAGGCGCAGAAUCCGCAUUUGUUGUGAUGAGCUGAACCUUUUAGUCCCGUUCUGCAAUGCCGAGACUGAUAAGGCGACAACUCUCCAGUGGACCACAGCAUUCCUGAAAUACAUUCAGGAAAGACACGGAGACUCUCUUAAGAAGUUCCGUGGACGGGUGGAGUGCUCCCACUACCCCAGACGAUUCAGGAGUUAGACCAGUGACAGCAGAGUACUUACACUGACCUUCCUGGACAUGAAUUAAAUAUAAACCUGCUACAGCUCAGCAACAAAAAAGCAAACAACCUGAUUCAAAACUGGGCAAAGGACUCGAAUAGACAUUUCUCCAGAGAAGAUAGGCGAAUGGCCCACAAGCCCAUGAAAAGAUGCUGAUCAGCAGGGAGAUGCAGAUGAAAUCCACAGUGAUGCCACCCCACACCCAUUAGUUGUGGCUACGAAAACCAGAAAAACAGGUGUUGGGAGGAUGCACAGAAAUUGGAACCCUUGGGACUGCUGGUGGGGGUGGAAAAUGGUGCGGCCACAUGGAAAACAGUCUGGGCUCCUCAGAAAGUUCAGCACAGAACUGCCACAUGAUCCUGCUUUUCCACUUCUGGGUACUUAGCCAGAGAAUUGAAAACCAAUGGAUCCUUGUACCAGAAUGUUCCAGCAGUAUGAUUCACGACAGCCCGAGGUGGAAGCGACCCGUGUGCAUUGACAGACGAUGGACAAGCAAAACGGACAUACAGACAAGGGCACACAGUACGCAGCCUGAGAAACAAGUGGUGUUCCGGCACGCGCUCCAGUACAGACGUCCUGGAGGACACUGCUAAGGGAAAGAGACCCGUCACAAAGGACAAAUCCUGUGCGACCCACUCAUGUGAGGUCCUUAGAGUCGUCAGACUCGUAGAGACAAAGUAGAUGGAAUUUGAGAGUGUAUUUUGCGGUAAAACUGGCAGACGUCUAAAGUUGACCAGACCAGACUCCUUGGUGACGUGCCCCACACAGGAGAGUCUACAGAGCAGCCCAGCCAUGGAGAUGAAGUGACCAGAACUGAAUCCUGAUUCCUGGGAAGCAGAUGGUCAUUCCUUCCAGCCCAGAAACAUUUCCACAGCCCUGGGGCUCUGCUCUGACAGUCUCACUCUAAAGGGACAUGACUCAAGUUGAUGGGACUCCAUUGGGGACUUUGAAAGCACAUUUUGUAAAAACAUUUAGAACAAAAUACUUAUCCAUUAAUGUCCUCUUAGACCAUUGAGGAUGAAGACAUCUUGACAAUUAGUAAGUAAUUUUUCAAUUAUCUGUCUGAUUCCAUCAUGUUUUCUUAACAUGAUAACUUAAAAAAUUAACAUCCCUUGUAAUUGCUUUAGUCAUACAAGGUACAUUACUUUGUACUUAUUCUAUUUACAUUUUAAAUAUGCCCCUUAGCAACUGGAACAAGUUAAAUUGUUCUUCACUAGAAGCAGUUUGGAAAUUUGUUUCAUUCGUUUAUCAACUCCCCUUGUAACGACUUCCGGUCGCGUAGUCCUGUAUUGCAAAAUGCAGUCCUGCUCAAACCUUUUUGCUAGAAAUUUGCCAGCGAUGUCCUUUCUGGGAUGUCCCUACUUUUGUCCAUAAAUGAAAUAUUGUCACAGUAGUUGCUUGGUGCCCUCGCUUCCAUAUUGAGAGUCAUUACCUUUUGUGGAAUAAACUGUAGUGUUUGGAACAGA